rnacentral:rRNA from 1 species
CGCCGUAAACGAUGGAUACUAGCUGUCGGGCCCUUGGGCUCGGCGGCCAAGCGAAAGUGAUAAGUAUCCCACCUGGGGAGUACGUUCGCAAGAAUGAAACUCAAAGGAAUUGACGGGGGCCCGCACAAGCGGUGGAGCAUGUGGUUUAAUUCGAUGAUACGCGAGGAACCUUACCAGGGCUUAAAUGUAGGUUGCAUGGGGCAGAGACGCCCCUUUCUUCGGACCACCUACAAGGUGCUGCAUGGUUGUCGUCAGCUCGUGCCGUGAGGUGUCAGGUUAAGUCCUAUAACGAGCGCAACCCCUACCGUUAGUUGCCAGCGAGUGAAGUCGGGGACUCUAACGGGACUGCCGGUGCAAACCGUGAGGAAGGUGGGGACGACGUCAAAUCAUCACGGCCCUUACGUCCUGGGCCACACACGUGCUACAAUGGCCGGUACAGAGGGAAGCCACCCCGCGAGGGGGCGCGGAUCUACAAAACCGGUCACAGUUCGGAUCGGGGUCCGCAACUCGACCCCGUGAAGCUGGAAUCGCUAGUAAUCGGAUAUCAGCCAUGAUCCGGUGAAUACGUUCCCGGGCCUUGUACACACCGCCCAAGCUUGC